UGGUUUGGCUCCUGACAAACACAUCACACCAGUGUCAAGAUUUGGAAAGACAAGGAUCCUCGAUGAAAGGAAACCUACCUGUUCAGUGUUUAAAAGCAUAUUCUGAGAGACUAAGGUGGCCAAGUACUCAUCUUCCUCUUCAUCCCAUGUUUCAGCCUGAGCAUAUGAUCCUGGAAGAAGAAUAAAUGGUUUACCAGUCUCUGAAAUCAAAUCAUUGUAAAACAUAUGUUGCAUUUCUAGCAAUAUCUCUUCACUAUCACCUUCAUAAGCAUCUUCUGGGCCUUCAUAUUCCCACAAUAUAUCAUGGGAAUCCUCAAUUUUUUUUAAUUCAUCAGAAACAAUGUCCUGGAAAGCAGAAUUGAUAAUCUCCUGAAACACAAAAGAACGUUAAAGUCACUGACAACGAAAGUUUCUUUCAAAACAAACAAACCUUCUGAUCUGAAGAUUCACAAUCAGAGUGCCUCAAUUUCCACAGCAGACGUGUCCUUUCUUCUCUAACUCUUCUGAAGCAACUUUCUCUGAGCUACAUUUCAUUAAUUUUACAUUAAAACAAAAACGCCCAGAAACUAGUAAAAA